UACGGAGACUGCGAGCGUUACUCGUAUUCACUGGGCGUAAAGGGUGCGCAGGCGGUGAUGUAUGUCAGGUGUGAAAUCCCCGGGGCUUAACUCCGGAAGUGCGCCUGAAACUGCAUUACUAGAGGCUUGGAGGGGACAGCAGAAUUUCUGGUGUAUCGGUGAAAUGCGUAGAUAUCAGAAGGAAUACCAAUGGCGAAGGCAGCUGUCUGGACAAUAUCUGACGCUCAUGCACGAAAGCGUGGGGAG
rnacentral:rRNA from 1 species